rnacentral:lncRNA from 1 species
AGCCAAUCCUGUGGCAUAUGGAGGUUCCCAGGCUAGGGGUCAAAUGGGAGCCAAAGCCGCCAGCCUAUACCACAGCCACAGCAACUCGGGCUCUGAGGUGCGUCUGCGACCUACACCACAGCUCAUGGCAAGGCCAGAUCCUUAAUGCACUGAACGAGGCUAGGGAUCGAACCCGUGUCCUCAUGGAUACUAGUCGUGUUCGCAACCUGCUGAGCCACAACGGGAACUCCCUCAAACUGAAAUUUCUAUUUGCUACAUUCAUUGAAAAGCAAAAAACAAACAAAGCACUCUGAACAACAACAACAAAAAGAAGUAUAAAAUUAAUGAAACUCAGCUCAUCACUAAUCCCCCAACCACAGCAGCGAGAAUUUCCUGAUUGGAGCAAGUGUGUCGGGGGAGGUCAUCCAAGGUAGAGACGGAGGAAGAUCCUGAAUUCAGCUCCUCCCCUGACAGCCUGAACCUACAGCUACGUACGGAACAAUUUCCUCCGAAAAAGACCUGAAAACUAGCUGUGCAGCUCCUUCUUCUCUACAAACAAGGAAAGAGCCACAUGGAGGCAGGCAGGACACGCUAAGCCACGAUGCCUCCCCAAGGCCGUGACCCCCAAUCAGAGGGAACACACAAACCUGGGGCCUCCCCCUGAGGACAGAGAGGUUCAUACCCCACAUCAGCACUCCAGCAUUUAAGACCAACCGCUGAGAGAUGAACCUCCAAAACGUCUGACUUCGAAAACCAGCAGGGCCACACCCACGAGAAAGACCCAAAGGCUGCAGCAAACUGAGCAGCACCCCUGCAAGGGCACGGACUCAGUGGCCAGGGGCCAGCACAGAAGCGGCUGUUGGAAAAGCAUCCAGAUUUUCUGCCAAAGAACUCAUUUGCAAAGCUUAAGGCAUGGGCCUGAGGGGUUGGGGUCUGACAGAUUCUGGAUGGAGGCACCGGUGGGCACCCUUCCAGCACGCUCCCUCUGCCUCGCUAAAGCCAGCAGCUGCCAUUUUUCUUUCUUGGUCCUUAGAGGGUGUCUUCCUUGCCUGCUCCCUCUGCCACAGUCCUCAGCACCAGUGUCUCCCAGAGGGGAGCUUUAUACACAGCUGGUGCCCAGUUUUCAUGUCUGGGUUUUAAGUGUCCCAGUUUUUACAUCUAGUGUCCUGGUUUUUGCAGCUGACACCCAGGGGACAUCCCUGAAACACCUGACUCGAGUGCCCAGGAGGGCUUUCCUUUCUGGGUCCCCUAGGACUAGAGCACUAGGACAGACAGGUCUUGACAGCUACCGGCCCAGGGCACCACACAGAGAGCAGACUGAAACACACCCGGCCCCUCUGUGAAAGUGGCCUGAGUACUUGUCCUAGAGUUUCUGCCUGAAAGGUGGGUUUUAGGGCGGUACAUACCUGGAGGCUAUGGAGUGGCUCUCAGGGACUGUAGUUUGGGGGGGACACCACUUUUUCGCUCUCCGUCUGACUCAGUAUAGGUCACUGGAAUCUCCCAGAAAGGAGGUAACCAUCUCCUCUAGAUACUGAUUCUUGUGAUUGUCACCCCGGAGGGACACCUCCAAAUCGCCUGGCCUGGUGGCCAACAGGGCUUACGCUGCUGGUCCCACAGGACUGUAUAUAUUUUCCACUUUGAAAGCUGUUGCCUGAGUAGCUGGCUGCCAAUCAGGUGCUGAUCUAGGUGCUGACUGAGCGUUCAAAGUGAUGGGCAUAAAGAUGCUCUUUGGAGUUCCUGCUGUGGUGAAAUGUGAGCAGCCGUGUCUCUGCAGCACCAGGACACAGGUUCGAUCCCUACCUGGCACAGUGGGUUAAAGGAUCUGGCAUUAUCAUCAGCUUCGGUGUAGGGAUAAGAUGCUCAUCAACUUGGAAGAAUGGAUAGAGAAAGGAUGAUACUGUCUUUUAGACGCCUCUGUAUUUCUGACACACACUAUUCAAUUACAGUGCUCCCUUGAACAACAUAGGUUUAAACU